GAACGAACUGUUCGUCGUUGUUUCUUGUGAAUUUCGUGUGCUACUCCACUUCCUGAUAGAAUUGAUUUCUGAAGUCGUGUGGACUGGGCGAUCGGGGUUCAAGCUCAUUUAUGAUUUGCUGGUUCUUGUCAGAAGAGAUGAUAGAUAAUUGCAACUGCUCCGAGGCUCAUUAAAUCCUCCUCUCCUUUAGAAUUCUAAAAUAUAACUACACCAAACAUGUUGCAGACAAAUUUGUCUGCAAGUGAAAACUGUAGACAUGCUUCCUAAUUAUUGUGGGUGCCAUUAAUUUAAGUGGGUGCCAUUCUGCAAAAAAAUUAACAUCAAGCCUCGCCCUCCUGAGUUUUAUUUCUCCCAAAAGAUUGAUUACUUGAAGGACAAGUGCAACCGAACUUUGUUAAGGAGAAUCAAGAGUGGGGCGACCGAGUUGAUUAAGGGAGUUCAAGCUCAUUCAUGAUUUGCUGGUUCUUGUCAGAAGUGAUGAUAGAUAAUUGCAAUUGUCUUCAAGGUAUUUAGAUGUUUAUGUUUUUCUGUGUCCCAACAGAGUUUCAAAUCACAAAGAAAAUAUGCAACGAUGAUUUCUUAUACGAACUUAUAGAUACAUAUACUUUUAUCAAUUUGAGAUGUUAAUGUUUCUCAAUGA